AGCGAACGCUGGCGGCAGGCUUAACACAUGCAAGUCGAGCGCUCGUAGCAAUACGAGAGCGGCAGACGGGAGAGCAACACGUGGGAACGUACCCUUCGGUUCGGAAUAACCCAGGGAAACUUGGGCUAAUACCGGAUACGUCCGUAAGGAGAAAGAUUUAUCGCCGAGGGAUCGGCCCGCGUCCGUUUAGCUAGUUGGUGGGGUAAUGGCCCACCAAGGCGACGAUCGGUAGCUGGUCUGAGAGGAUGAUCAGCCUCACUGGGACUGAGACACGGCCCAGACUCCUACGGGAGGCAGCAGUGGGGAAUAUUGGACAAUGGGCGCAAGCCUGAUCCAGCCAUGCCGCGUGGGUGAUGAAGGCCUUAGGGUUGUAAAGCCCUUUCGGCGGGGAAGAUAAUGACGGUACCCGCAGAAGAAGCCCCGGCUAACUUCGUGCCAGCCGCCGCGGUAA
rnacentral:rRNA from 1 species